rnacentral:rRNA from 1 species
AGAGUUUGAUCCUGGCUCAGAUUGAACGCUGGCGGCAUGCCUUACACAUGCAAGUCGAACGGUAACAGGUCUUCGGAUGCUGACGAGUGGCGAACGGGUGAGUAAUACAUCGGAACGUGCCCGAUCGUGGGGGAUAACGCAGCGAAAGCUGUGCUAAUACCGCAUACGAUCUACGGAUGAAAGCGGGGGAUCGCAAGACCUCGCGCGGACGGAGCGGCCGAUGGCAGAUUAGGUAGUUGGUGGGAUAAAAGCUUACCAAGCCGACGAUCUGUAGCUGGUCUGAGAGGACGACCAGCCACACUGGGACUGAGACACGGCCCAGACUCCUACGGGAGGCAGCAGUGGGGAAUUUUGGACAAUGGGGGAAACCCUGAUCCAGCCAUGCCGCGUGCAGGAUGAAGGCCUUCGGGUUGU